CACGUAGGCGGAUAUUUAAGUCAGGGGUGAAAUCCCAGAGCUCAACUCUGGAAUUGCCUUUGAUACUGGGUGUCUUGAGUAUGAGAGAGGUGUGUGGAACUCCGAGUGUAGAGGUGAAAUUCGUAGAUAUUCGGAAGAACACCAGUGGCGAAGGCGACACACUGGCUCAUUACUGACGCUGAGGCUCGAAAGCGUGGGGAGCAAACA
rnacentral:rRNA from 1 species